CAGGAAUGUUCAGGAAUAUUUCUAAGAACACAAAAACACCCAGCUCCCAACCUGGUAAAUUCCACAACUCAUAGCAUCCAGUUAGAAGUUAGCAGGCAUUCAAAGAGCAAAGAAGAAAACUGUGACUCAUAAUAAGGAUUACAACUCUUGAAUACAAGUUUAAUGAUAGUUGACUGAGUCAAGAAGCCAAAGAACAAGCAAAUGUGAUAAACACUGGAAGGAAAAGAAAAAUGAGUAAAGCCAACUCUUUGUGCUCGGAGAAUUUAUAAUCUAGCAAUGAAGCAAUGUAGGUGAGCUGAUUUGGUCCUGCCUCAUCACACUGAUCUUAUCAAUGAAAGUACAUGCACAGAUUAUUUGCAUAAAUUUGACGGUCGAUUAGGAUUUGAAGAGACUCUACAGUUGAGGCUUCAAAGCUUCACUCCUCGGACUCUUGUCCAGUUUCUACCACUGGGCCUCAUAGUGUUUCCCUCUUUCGUUUUAUAUCUUCUACUUUACUUGGCCACUGAAAUAAAUCAAAUAUGGAU
rnacentral:lncRNA from 1 species